GACGAACGCUGGCGGCGUGCUUAACACAUGCAAGUCGAACGGAAAGGCCCUGCUUUUGUGGGGUGCUCGAGUGGCGAACGGGUGAGUAACACGUGAGUAACCUGCCCUUGACUUUGGGAUAACUUCAGGAAACUGGGGCUAAUACCGGAUAGGAGCUCCUGCUGCAUGGUGGGGGUUGGAAAGUUUCGGCGGUUGGGGAUGGACUCGCGGCUUAUCAGCUUGUUGGUGGGGUAGUGGCUUACCAAGGCUUUGUCGGGUAGCCGGCCUGAGAGGGUGACCGGCCACAUUGGGACUGAGAUACGGCCCAGACUCCUACGUGAGGCAGCAGGGGAGAAUAUUGCACAAUGGGCGGGAGCCUGAUGCAGCAACGCCGCGUGCGGGAUGACGGCCUUCGGGUUGUAAACCGAUUUCGCCUGUGACGAAGCGUGAGUGACGGUAAUGGGUAAAGAAGCACCGGCUAACUACGUG
rnacentral:rRNA from 1 species